rnacentral:rRNA from 1 species
AUUGAACGCUGGCGGCACGCCUAACACAUGCAAGUCGAGCGGUAACAUUGUCUGUAGCAAUACAGACAGAUGACGAGCGGCGGACGGGUGAGGAACACGUAGGAAUCUGCCCUUAAGCGGGGGAUAACCAAGGGAAACGUUGUCUAAUACCGCAUAAACACGAGAGAGGAAAGCUGCCCGCGAGGGUGGCACUUGAGGAGGAGCCUGCGUCCGAUUAGCUAGUUGGAGAGGUAAAGGCUCACCAAGGCGAUGAUCGGUAACUGGUCUGAGAGGACGACCAGUCACACUGGGACUGAGACACGGCCCAGACUCCUACGGGAGGCAGCAGUGGGGAAUAUUGGACAAUGGGGGCAACCCUGAUCCAGCGAUGCCGCGUGAGUGAAGAAGGCCUUCGGGUCGUAAAGCCCUUUAGGUUGGGAAGAAGGGUGCGGGGUUAAUAGCUCUGUACUUUGACUGUACCGACAGAAUAAGCACCGGCAAACUCUGUGCCAGCCGCCGCGGUAAGAC